UCAGCUUUUCAUAGUAGAACGUAGGCAACGUAUCUACCAUAAUUGUGAUCAUCUCCUUCUCCGUCAUGGGCGGGAUGACUUGGGCUGCGAGAUAUCUCCACCUUUGGGCAUAUUCUUUAAUGGACUCAUGUUCUCGCUUGGUCAUACUCUGAAGCUGGUUCCGAUCGGGAGCCAUAUCUGUAUUGUAUUGGUACUGCCCAAUGAAGGCAGUCG
rnacentral:lncRNA from 1 species